CUUCUGUUUAUUUUUAAUCAUUAUGGAAUCGGAUAAUUUUGAUUUUAAAACCAUUUUGUAAUUUUUACUCUUACUCCAUAAACUUUAAAUAAGUAUAUACUAUUGUUUUUCGAAUAGGAACGCCCCUUUUUGAACACAGAUCUGAAUGGAGAAUAUUUUUCUAGAGUUUUUGAUAUGCAUAACACUAAUAAAAAAUGUAUUAUUUACAGUGACGCAACCAGGAUUUAACUUUUU